GAUGAAGAACGUAGCGAAAUGCGAUAAGUAAUGCGAAUUGCAGAAUUCAGUGAAUCAUCGAAUCUUUGAACGCACAUUGCGCCGGCUAGUAUUCUGGCGGGCAUGCCUGUCUGAGCGUCAUUUCAACCCUCGCCCCCGGCUUUUGCUGGGAGCGGUGUUGGGGAUCGGCCGCCCGUCACUGGGAGGCCGGCCCCGAAAUAGAGUGGCGACCACGCCGUGUGCUCCUCUGCGUAGUAGUAAAUCACCUCGCAGGCGGACAGCGGUGCGGCCUGCCGUAAAACCCCCAACUCUUUCUUUGGUUGACCUCAGAUCAGGUAGGAAUACCCGCUGAACUUAAGCAUAUCAAUAAGCGGAGGA
rnacentral:misc_RNA from 1 species